rnacentral:rRNA from 1 species
UGGGGAAUAUUGGGCAAUGGGCGCAAGCCUGACCCAGCAACGCCGCGUGAGGGAAGAAGGUUUUCGGAUUGUAAACCUCUGUCGCAGAAGACGAAGGAAGUGACGGUAAUCUGUGAGGAAGCCCCGGCUAACUACGUGCCAGCAGCCGCGGUAAUACGUAGGGGGCGAGCGUUGUCCGGAAUGAUUGGGCGUAAAGGGCGCGUAGGCGGCCUGGUAAGUCCGGAGUGAAAGUCCUGCUUUUAAGGUGGGAAUUGCUUUGGAUACUGCUGGGCUUGAGUGCAGGAGAGGAAAGCGGAAUUACCGGUGUAGCGGUGAAAUGCGUAGAGAUCGGUAGGAACACCAGUGGCGAAGGCGGCUUUCUGGACUGAAACUGACGCUGAGGCGCGAAAGCGUGGGGAGCAAACAGGAUUAGAUACCCUGGUAGU